GAUGAAGAACGCAGCGAAAUGCGAUAAGUAAUGUGAAUUGCAGAAUUCAGUGAAUCAUCGAAUCUUUGAACGCACAUUGCGCCCCCUGGUAUUCCGGGGGGCAUGCCUGUUCGAGCGUCAUUUCACCACUCAAGCCUCGCUUGGUAUUGGGCAACGCGGUCCGCCGCGUGCCUCAAAUCGACCGGCUGGGUCUUCUGUCCCCUAAGCGUUGUGGAAACUAUUCGCUAAAGGGUGUUCGGGAGGCUACGCCGUAAAACAACCCCAUUUCUAAGGUUUACCUCGGAUCAGGUAGGGAUACCCGCUGAACUUAAGCAUAUCAAAAGCGGAGGA
rnacentral:misc_RNA from 1 species